rnacentral:lncRNA from 1 species
GCCAGAAUGAGUGGUGAUGACAUGAGGAUUGUGGUACAUGAUUAAGUGGGGUGUGUGAUGAUCAUCAUGAAUUAUGAAAAAAAAAAAAAAAAGGGGGGGGUGAGGGGAAGUACAACUGGCUUAGAUGGAGACUGCUAAUGUGUCAUGUUGGGAGAUCUGCAUAGAAGUCCUAUUGGUUUGGGCUUUAUUUGGUCUGAAAAGAGAAUAAAUUGUGUUGUCUUUUCUUCUUUCUCUCUCUCUCUCUCUCUCUUUUUUUUUUUUUUUUUUUUUUUUGGCAGAGGAUCUUUGUAGGGAAGCUGGGAUCUGACAUGGUUUGGUUCCUGCCAUUGUGUGGUAUGUACCUUGGGCUGAUGGGAGCAAAGGGAACACUGGGACACCUGUGCCUUCAGCUGCUCACCUGCAGCCCAGGCCUGCCAUGGCAGCUCACAGCUGCUCUGCUGUGUGCUGUGGUUUCCACCUACCUGGGGUGGUUGGGCUUGGCUAUAUACUCAUGAAAACUACUAGAUUGACAAUGGCAGAGAAUAAAGUUCUGGGCGGGGAUUGCAUCUGUGAACAUCUCAGGAGACAGGCAAGGAGCUUCAGGGCUGUAGCUUGCGGGGCCUCAUUGUUUGGGAAUGCUGCAUAA